ACGCUGGUGCUGAGGCGCAGGGCGAUGACGCGCGCAAGGGCAAGGGCAGCGGCAGCGAGAGGGAAGGGCAGCAGGAGGGAGCGCGUCUUUUCAUGUUUUCUGUGCUGGUAAUGAAGUCUAUAGGACAGACCACACAGGUGUAAAGAUGGGAAUGUGAGAGAAAAAGAUCAAGAAUGGUACGUCUGGAGAAGUUCUUGGAUGAUGCCAAUACCUUCUUGGGAGACGAGGAAGGGAUUUUCUUAGCUGAUAUUUGCUUCAUUUUCAGCGUUUCUCCAUCUGUUUUAAUUUCAGGCUGUUGGACAUCAUGCUCCAAGGCAGAGUUGAAGAAGCAACACCAAGCAGUGAUGCAGUUGUCACAGUGGAAGGAAAGAGCCUAAAACAAGUUCUCAUCCUACAGUUAUUCCUCCUGCUGUCAAACUGGUUUACUCUGCAAUGACUCUUGAGGUUACUUUUCAUACAAGGAAAAAAACCCUAAGAUCUGUUUCCUAGCUUUCAUCCUUCAGAAACUGGUCACUACAAGCUCUCUGCUGAUUUCCCUCUGAGGUGGAGUAUUAGUGGUCCUGCCACCAAAGGACAAUCCAGCGUUUAGCCGUAAUACUUUGAUACUGCUCCUGCUGAGCCUAGCUGUAAAGGUUUCUGGUUUUACUGAUGCAGAAUCAGGCCCUUGGCUUUGUUUGCUGUUCAGGAUGAAUUCCCUGUGCAAAAUCACACUGGAAUGCAAAGUGAUGGCAGAGUGUAGCCUACUGCAGUACUUCUUGAGUAAUGAAUCUCAGGUGAAAAAAAGCAAUUGUACAUAUUUUUUGUGCUGUAAGUAUACAAGAUAAUUUUGGGAAAUGAAAUAUUAUGCAUAGGCCCUACUACCAUUUUUAGAAUCAAAACAACUUCAAAGACCAUCAAGUUCAUCCGCAAUGAUAAUAUUUAUUGUGGGUUUUCAAGGGAGGCCAUGAACAAUUGCUUUGAACUUUAAAAGCAAUCAUGACAAAUCAUUUAAAGGAGAGAUGCCAAGUGUUUUGACAUCCAGGCCACAUGGGGUUUACAAAUGGAGACUGUGAGCCAGAGGGGAAUUGCUCCCCUGGGUAAGAGAAUCUGUUUCCACGACCUACUGUGAUCCUCUUCAAGUGUACGGUACAUUUCCUUUCUAUGCAAAACACUGCGAUUUCUAAUUCAUAAAGUGAUUUAAAAGGUCACUAUCAAAGAGUGACUUGUCUGAGGGGUUUAAAAUUCAGACGUUUCCUCAGAUUCCCUUGAAAUUUUCUGUGCCUAUGGGAUAGGGUUAAUGAUCCUGAAAGGGCAUGAUUUGAACAAGUCACUUCCAAAGAACGUCCUCUCCACCUGCUUUGAAAGCAUGCCAGUAUAAGUUCAAAAAGUUCUCCUGAUCUUUUUACAUUUACUUGGAGCUUAAAAAAUGGCCCAGACAACAGUGCUGCAUAUUAUCCAGGGACUAAGGUACACGGUAACUGCUGAACAGAGUCUAGCACCUUCUUAACUAAGGCAACACUUGUAUUUGGAUGAACUGUACCAAACAGGACUUGUACUUGUCUACUUUGAAACCCAGAGUUUCUUCUGAAGAAUACUUCUACCUUCUACAGUCUCUUCACCUCCCAUAACUACUUUUAAGCCAUGAACUUAGGAGGCUAUGGAACAGACCACUGCCCUCUCUUCUAAUCUAAAAUGUAACAAGCUAAGCAACAGAACUGAGUUUCAUCAUGGGGCAUGUGGCAAGGCUUGGCAACCCUGCCUUAAUGUCAAAGCCUAAAUCCUGGUCACACUGAUCUCACAUUACAAAAAAUCUUAGGAAAUUCAGGAGACCAAGAUUUUGCCUUUUGAAUUACAAUGCCUCCCUCUCUUUAUUUGCUAUUUAUGGGGGAUCUAAGAUGGAUAAUCAAGAUGGUGCACUGAUUAAUAAAGAAGCUAUCACUUAACAAAUUAUAUACAAAUCAUUAAAACCAAACAGAUGACUCUGUGACGUAUCUAGAAAGAUACAGGGUUUAUGUCCAUCCUGGUCACCAACCCACUCUUGCUAUGUUCUGUAAAGACUGGUAAAGACUUGUUUCCGACAGAAAUCCUUCUCUGGGCUUUUCCCAAACCAGUGAUGUUUUCACAGAGAGACAGUAGCAUCUAUUUUCUGUUACAUGAGAAUCCAUUAUACCAUACCAUAGAGUAUUAUACCCCCUAAGUCAAGCUGGAAUGCAAUCAGAGGAAAAGGAAUCUCAUCCACUGAAAGGGAACAUGACAAACUAAAAUUCCGCAUUUGAAAAAAUAAACAUAUAUUGAGUGGUGGGAACACCGUGCCUGUCUUCAACUUCACAUUUAGCUGGAGAGUGGGAACAGUGGGAGAUUUAAUGAUUCAGUCAGAAUUUACAUAGGAAACAGGAUGAUGGGUCAGAGGAAAUGCUUAUUUAUAAAAAGCUUUUAUGCUGAUCUGGUUUGGGCUCUUACACCCAUACAAAGAAGACAUUCCAGGUUUCCAGGCCACUUGCCCCCAAAGACCAUGAACAUUUUCUUCAGUGCUUUAGGGAUAGUAUUGAUUCUUGCUGGGCUAUAUCCAAGUCUUACUAAACUCACAGGAGUUUUGCUACUGAUUAUGGGGCUCUCUGGAGAUAACCUGUCAACACUGAUAUGGUUGGUCACUUCAGUCUCUGCACUCAUAUAUUUCCCUUCCAGACAUAAUCUCAGAAUAAGCAUUUUAGUUUCUAUUUAAUACUGAGACUCCAAAAACUGUAACACUUGUUUAUGCAAUAUUUUACUGAGGAACAGUUAAGAGUUUCCACAUGCACAAGCAGUAUUAUGAGUACAAGUGAACAAGUUUUAUACCCCUCAGCUCUCAGCAUCUAUGUAGUGCCAUUGCUCCACAACUUUAUGUUGAACACUUCACAACAAGCACCUGAGCUCAAGGCAGGCCAAAUUAUACUAACUGAAAGAGGCAAAGAAUGACUAGAAAAUCAGCCCAAAAUAUCAAGUGUCAACAUUUGAUUCUGAUUUUAAAAAAACGAAACAUACUAUAGACUUGUACAUUGCUGCUAGUGUCUGUUAACGGAGGACAAAAUGCUCCGACUGGCUAUGCUUUUGCUCUCCCAACAGCAUUGCCUGUGCAUGAAGAACACAUUGAUAUGGUAAUUCAAAGCAGUCGUCCAAGUCUUUAGAGCAACCGAUAAUAUACGUCAUACAAGUUAAAUACUCCAGAAGAGUAGAAUCAACAUGAGAAAAAUACAGAAUCUGAAAUGAGAUUCUGGAAAAUUACUCUUUCUAUGAUUCAAACUGACUCACUGAAUGAAUGGUGUUCUGAAAGUGGAAUAUAUCUACCAGAAUUGAUCAGGAAUUUUUCAAUGACUGUUUUUUGUCAAAAAAUCUCUCUUUAUCUUAGGCAUGAAUCUUAUGGAAAAUUGAUGGAAAUAAAAUGUUGUGCUUCUGUCUCUUAAUUGUUUUGUAACUGCCACAAUAUCCUAUUUUCUAUAUGAAAAUUCUGUUUUUAAGUCAAUUUAUUUUCAUUCCAAAAUUAAGUAUAUUUUAAGCUAAAAAGGUUAUAUUUUUAAAAGAAGUGUUAAAUUCAAAGCAAAUAUUUCCACUGUCUCAAGCUAAUUACAUUUUUAAGUUUAGCUAAUGAAAACAUUAAGAAUUUUUGGGAUACUUUCAAACAGGAAACUUUUCAAUGUGUCAAAAUUUUCUGUGAGGUAGGAAAGUAAUUUCCUCCCUGUCUUAAUACAUACCCUGAUUCAUAUUAUUCAUGCUGCAUUUCUACAAUUACUUUAUUAACUGUAGAAUCUUCAUUUUCUUUUCAUGUCACUUUUUGUAACAUGAUUUGAAAGUGAGAACUUAAGAAGGGAGCUGGUUUAUUUUCAUUUACAUUUCUGUAAAGGUAACCAUUGACUUUACUACUAUAAAUACGGUCAAAAUUAGGCUUCCCUUCAGGCCAUGCUGUAACGAGUUUCAUGGAAGUGGUUUCAUCACACACUAAGUUGCAGUAACUCAUUUAAAGCUGCCUAAGCAGUUACAGUAUUUGAAAUCACAGCAGCUAGUGGUAGUCAGCACCAUGGCUGUGAAAAACAGUGCAGAGGUGCUUAUUAACAUCUUUUAUUGGCUGACGUUCACAUUUAAAUUUAAGUUCAAGCUAACAACUUAAGGACUUUCAAACAUUAGACUAGUCAGUAGUGAACAGGUUUAAAAUACAGGAAUACACAUCCAUAAAACAAGAUUCUUUAAGCUUUGUGUAUCUCAGUUUGGAAUUAUCCAGAGCUUUUGGUUUAGACAAACUUUAGCUCCAUCUCUGUGCAAGAACCGUAAAAAGCACUGUGAUGCCACUGAUACAUUUUUCUUCCAUAUAGUAGAAUUAAGGAUUAAACUGAUAUGAGAAACUCAGUUCUGGAUUUUGAGUUUUACUAUAAAACCUAUCUGGAGAGAGAGUUUUGCCCUGUCCUUCAGAUAAAAAAGAAGAAAAAAUGGCUCACUCACUUUCUAGCUAGAGCAAUGUAAUAUAAUUGUAACUCUGUUGUCUUUAAUGCUGUGAUGUAUAAUCACUGUGUGUGAGAAAAAAAUCUGACCAGAAGACUACCAAGGAGAACUUAGCACACAAGCCUGUUAUUGCUUUAAGAUUUUGUACCUUGGAGAGAGGUUUCUUCUUGCCUUGAAAUUGCAAACAGCCUGUUUAUUCAAAAGCUUUCAAAAUGUAAAUUCAA